rnacentral:rRNA from 1 species
UACGUAGGUGGCAAGCGUUGUCCGGAUUUACUGGGCGUAAAGAGCGCGCAGGCGGUCGCUUAAGUCGCGUGUGAAAGCCCCCGGCUCAACUGGGGAGGGUCACGCGAUACUGAUCGACUCGAAGGCAGGAGAGGGUAGUGGAAUUCCCGGUGUAGUGGUGAAAUGCGUAGAUAUCGGGAGGAACACCAGUGGCGAAGGCGACUACCUGGCCUGUAAUUGACGCUGAGGCGCGAAAGCUAGGGGAGCAAACGGG